UCUUCUGCUUUAAUUUGUUUUCCUCAAAUUGCUCAGUACAAAAAUGUGCUGAAAAAAAUCAAUGCUAAGAGGAGCAUCAUAUAGAGACUGUUUAAUCGCUCAGAAUAAAAACAUGUUAAAGCCUUGUGAGGUGUCAUGAAGAAGUACUGUUGGCAAAUUUGGCGGCAAAUAGAGGCCCUCAUUUCCUUCAGUGUGUGCCAUCACUCAUAACCAAAAAGUGAAUCCAAAGUGUCUCAACACAACAGGGAAGAUCAUGGUAGUAAGUACACUGACUGGGAGAAGGUGGCACUAGGAUGUCCCACUUCUUCCACAGAGAAACCUGCAGCCAAGGGUGCAGCAAGAACAUCGUUUAGUAGAAACUCAUGGACUAGGAAACUCAUGGACAGGUAAUGACUGUGGAGCAACACAAGCUGACUGCACAGGAGUGCUAUGAGGAUACUGCUUCUCUCAGCCAGGAACGUGGGUCAUAGUAUGUCAGCUGUUUGUAAACAGUCAAAAGGCCAAGUAUUAGAAGUAUAAGGAGACUUUUCUGGAUAAAGG
rnacentral:lncRNA from 1 species